GAUGAACGCUGGCGGCGUGCCUAAUACAUGCAAGUCGAGCGGUAACAGGAGUAGUUUACUACUUGCUGACGAGCGGCGAACGGCUGAGUAACGCGUAGGAAUGUACCCCAAAGUGAGGAAUAACUGCCCGAAAGGGUAGCUAAUGCCGCAUAUGAUCUUCGGAUUAAAGCUUUCGAGCGCUUUGGGAACAGCCUGCGUCCGAUUAGAUUGUUGGUGAGGUAAAGGCUCACCAAGUCGACGAUCGGUAGCUGGUCUGAGAGGAUGAUCAGCCAGACUGGAACUGAGACACGGUCCAGACUCCUACGGGAGGCUG
rnacentral:rRNA from 1 species